GUGGGGAAUAUUGGGCAAUGGGCGAAAGCCUGACCCAGCAACGCCGCGUGAAGGAAGAAGGUCUUCGGAUUGUAAACUUCUUUUAUGAGGGACGAAGGACGUGACGGUACCUCAUGAAUAAGCCACGGCUAACUACGUGCCAGCAGCCGCGGUAAUACGUAGGUGGCAAGCGUUAUCCGGAUUUACUGGGUGUAAAGGGCGCGUAGGCGGGGAUGCAAGUCAGAUGUGAAAUCUAUGGGCUUAACCCAUAAACUGCAUUUGAAACUGUAUCUCUUGAGUGCUGGAGAGGUAGACGGAAUUCCUUGUGUAGCGGUGAAAUGCGUAGAUAUAAGGAAGAACACCAGUGGCGAAGGCGGUCUACUGGACAGUAACUGACGCUGAGGCGCGAGAGCGUGGGGAGCAAACAGGA
rnacentral:rRNA from 1 species